GAUGAACGCUGGCGGCGUGCCUAACACAUGCAAGUCGAGCGGCAGCGAGGGGUGCUUGCACCCUGUCGGCGAGCGGCGGACGGCUGAGUAACGCGUGGGAACGUGCCCCAAAGUGAGGAAUAACUGCCCGAAAGGGUAGCUAAUACCGCAUAUUAUCUUCGGAUCAAAGGAUUUAUCCGCUUUGGGAGCGGCUCGCGUCGGAUUAGGUAGUUGGUGAGGUAAUGGCUCACCAAGCCGACGAUCCGUAGCUGGUCUGAGAGGAUGACCAGCCAGACUGGAACUGAGACACGGUCCAGACUCCUACGGGAGGCAGCAGUGCGGAAUCUUCCACAAUGGGCGAAGGCCUGAUGGAGCAGCGCCGCGUGCAGGACGAAGGCCUUCGGGUUGUAAGCUGCUUUUAUAAGUGAGGAAUAUGACGGUAACUUAUGAAUAAGGAUCGGCUAACUACGUG
rnacentral:rRNA from 1 species